rnacentral:tRNA from 2 species
UGCCCUGUGGUGUAAUUGGUAGCACAUGAGACUCUGGAUCUCAGUGUCUUGGUUCGAGUCCAAGCGGGGCAG